rnacentral:rRNA from 1 species
GACGUAGGGUGCCAGCGUUGUUCGGAAUUACUGGGUGUAAAGGGUUCGUAGGCGGUGCGGCAAGUUGGGAGUGAAAUCUCUGGGCUUAACCCAGAGGCUGCUUCCAAAACUGCUGUGCUUGAGUGUGGGAGAGGCGCGUGGAAUUGCAGGUGUAGCGGUGAAAUGCGUAGAUAUCUGCAGGAACACCCGUGGCGAAAGCGGCGCGCUGGACCACUACUGACGCUGAGGAACGAAAGCUAGGGGAGCAAACAGG